UGUCGGCGUGCUUAACACAUGCAAGUCGAACGGAAAGGCCCUGCUUUUGUGGGGUGCUCGAGUGGCGAACGGGUGAGUAACACGUGAGUAACCUGCCCUUGACUUUGGGAUAACUUCAGGAAACUGGGGCUAAUACCGGAUAGGAGCUCCUGCUGCAUGGUGGGGGUUGGAAAGUUUCGGCGGUUGGGGAUGGACUCGCGGCUUAUCAGCUUGUUGGUGGGGUAGUGGCUUACCAAGGCUUUGACGGGUAGCCGGCCUGAGAGGGUGACCGGCCACAUUGGGACUGAGAUACGGCCCAGACUCCUACGGGAGGCAGCAGUGGGGAAUAUUGCACAAUGGGCGGAAGCCUGAUGCAGCAACGCCGCGUGCGGGAUGACGGCCUUCGGGUUGUAAACCGCUUUCGCCUGUGACGAAGCGUGAGUGACGGUAAUGGGUAAAGAAGCACCGGCUAACUACGUGCCAGCAGCCGCGGUGAUACGUAGGGUGCGAGCGUUGUCCGGAUUUAUUGGGCGUAAAGGGCUCGUAGGUGGUUGAUCGCGUCGGAAGUGUAAUCUUGGGGCUUAACCCUGAGCGUGCUUUCGAUACGGGUUGACUUGAGGAAGGUAGGGGAGAAUGGAAUUCCUGGUGGAGCGGUGGAAUGCGCAGAUAUCAGGAGGAACACCAGUGGCGAAGGCGGUUCUCUGGGCCUUUCCUGACGCUGAGGAGCGAAAGCGUGGGGAGCGAACAGGCUUAGAUACCCUGGUAGUCCACGCUGUAAACGGUGGGUACUAGGUGUGGGGUCCAUUCCACGGGUUCCGUGCCGUAGCUAACGCUUUAAGUACCCCGCCUGGGGAGUACGGCCGCAAGGCUAAAACUCAAAGGAAUUGACGGGGCCCCGCACAAGCGGCGGAGCAUGCGGAUUAAUUCGAUGCAACGCGUAGAACCUUACCUGGGUUUGACAUGGAUCGGGAGUGCUCAGAGAUGGGUGUGCCUCUUUUGGGGUCGGUUCACAGGUGGUGCAUGGCUGUCGUCAGCUCGUGUCGUGAGAUGUUGGGUUAAGUCCCGCAACGAGCGCAACCCUUGUUCACUGUUGCCAGCACGUUAUGGUGGGGACUCAGUGGAGACCGCCGGGGUCAACUCGGAGGAAGGUGGGGAUGACGUCAAGUCAUCAUGCCCCUUAUGUCCAGGGCUUCACGCAUGCUACAAUGGCUGGUACAGAGAGUGGCGAGCCUGUGAGGGUGAGCGAAUCUCGGAAAGCCGGUCUCAGUUCGGAUUGGGGUCUGCAACUCGACCUCAUGAAGUCGGAGUCGCUAGUAAUCGCAGAUCAGCAACGCUGCGGUGAAUACGUUCCCGGGGCUUGUACACACCGCCCGUCAAGUCAUGAAAGUUGGUAACACCCGAAGCCGGUGGCCUAACCGUUGUGGGGGAGCCGUCGAAGGUGGGACUGGUGAUUAGGAC
rnacentral:rRNA from 1 species